GACGAACGCUGGCGGCGUGCUUAACACAUGCAAGUCGAACGGAAAGGCCCUGCUUUUGUGGGGUGCUCGAGUGGCGAACGGGUGAGUAACACGUGAGUAACCUUCCCUUGACUUUGGGAUAACUUCAGGAAACUGGGGCUAAUACCGGAUAGGAGCUCCUGCUGCAUGGUGGGGGUUGGAAAGUUUCGGCGGUUGGGGAUGGACUCGCGGCUUAUCAGCUUGUUGGUGGGGUAGUGGCUUACCAAGGCUUUGACGGGUAGUCGGCCUGAGAGGGUGACCGGCCACAUUGGGACUGAGAUACGGCCCAGACUCCUACGGGAGGCAGCAGUGGGGAAUAUUGCACAAUGGGCGGAAGCCUGAUGCAGCAACGCCGCGUGCGGGAUGACGGCCUUCGGGUUGUAAACCGCUUUCGCCUGUGACGAAGCGUGAGUGACGGUAAUGGGUAAAGAAGCACCGGCUAACUACGUG
rnacentral:rRNA from 1 species